rnacentral:rRNA from 1 species
GACAGAGGGGGCAAGCGUUGCUCGGAAUUACUGGGCGUAAAGAGCUCGUAGGCGGUUUGUCGCGUCUGCUGUGAAAACCCGAGGCUCAACCUCGGGCCUGCAGUGGGUACGGGCAGACUAGAGUGCGGUAGGGGAGAUUGGAAUUCCUGGUGUAGCGGUGGAAUGCGCAGAUAUCAGGAGGAGCACCGAUGGCGAAGGCAGAUCUCUGGGCCGUAACUGACGCUGAGGAGCGAAAGCGUGGGGAGCGAACAGGG